UACUUAGGGGGCGAGCGUUAUCCGGAUUUAUUGGGCGUAAAGCGUGUGUAGGCGGAUUAUUUAGUCUAAGAUCAAAGCCUGAGGCUCAACCUCAGUUCGUCUUAGAAACUGGUAGACUUGAGUGUGGUAGAGGCAAAUGGAACUUCUAGUGUAGCGGUUAAAUGCGUAGAUAUUAGAAAGAACACCAGUGGCGAAGGCGGUUUGCUGGGCCAUUACUGACGCUGAAACACGAAAGCGUGGGGAGCAAAUA
rnacentral:rRNA from 1 species